AUGAAGCCAAAUAAAGCACCAGGACCUGAUAAUAUCCCCAUUGAAUUUUUUCAACAUUGCCGGGAAAUAGUAAAAAGUGAGGUGAUGCUCCUGUUUGAGUGGUUUCAUGACAACAAACUAGAUGUGCAGCGCUUGAAUUAUGGGAUCAUUACUUUACUACCUAAAGUGGCUGGUGCUAAUAAAAUUCAGCAGUUCCGCCCCAUUUGCUUGCUGAGAUGCAUUUAUAAACUAAUCACUAAGGUGCUUACUAUUAGACUAGAGCCUUAUGUUGAUGUCCUCUUUAGUAGACACCAGAAUGCUUUUAUUAAGAAAAGAGAUAUAAUGGAUGAAUCAUGUCUUUACAUGAGAUUCUCCAUCAUACUUAUAGUAAGAAAAAAUCUGGGAUCGUGUUGA
rnacentral:rRNA from 1 species